rnacentral:lncRNA from 1 species
UUCAGUGAUGUGCAGCAACAGGACAAGGGGCAAUGGGCAAGAUCUGGAGUACAGGAAGUUCCAUACAAACACAUUUACUCACAUUUACUGUGAGAGUAACAGCACUGGGACAAGCUGCCCAGAGAGGCUGUGGAGUCUCCUUCUCUGGUGAUAAUUAAGACCCACCUGAAAGCUUUCCUGUGCAACCUACUGUAGGGAACAAGGUUUUAGCAGGAGAGUUGCGCUCAGUGAUCUCCAGAGGUCCCUUCCAACCCCUAUGAUUCUGUAAUUUCUACUCAGUCUGGAUACCAGGGAAUACAAAAUAAGGCUGCUACUGUGUCAAAGCCACCAUAAAUUAAAAAAAGAAAAGAAAAAAAAUAGGCAUAAGGGACAUCUUCUGCAAUUACUGUUGAGGUCCUAGUAAACCUGAAAGAUGGAAAGGAAAAAAGACAGUCCUGCAAGGAAUAGUGUGUGGGUUGGGUUCUGUUGUGACAUCAUUGUACAGAAUUGUCAUGAAGGAAAGUCUUGCUCUCUGUUAGAGCAUCACAGUGUCCAAGCAGUAAUUGCAGUUGAUAACUUAUGACAUUACAAUAAGACAGGAGAGUGACAGUCUAAAGCUACAUCUGGACCUGGC